rnacentral:other from 1 species
GUUUCAAUUCCUUAUAGGUACUAUCAAAAC